UCUAAAUUAAGUUAUAAUAAUAAUAAUAAUAAUAAAAUCCCUCAUCCUCUACUUCGUUCACCACCUACGCAAAACUAAAAUGAACAACUGCCACCGUUGACCACCCAAAUUCGGCAACUCCGAUGACACCCACGGUUGUGCACCGUUUCCAGCCCAUUCGUCUUACCUAGGUGCUCCAAUUCAUGGGGAGAUAUCAUUAAAAGCAAACACUGAUUAUACAAGUUUGCCUCGAGAGCAAGACGAGGCAAUUUUGUCUCCUUCGAUUAAUGGGUUUGGGAACGGUUUUUCAUAAAAUUGGCAACAUAUGAAUCAUUAGCAGCAUCACAUGACAACUAGUAUUUCCUCAACUGCUCCAAUUAAUGUCCUUAAUUGACGCAAUUUUGGAUUCUAAUUCUGCCUUAAAUCGCACGCGAACUAAGGAAAUUCUUUCUCUUCCACUUAACGAAACUGGAGCUCUUUUUCCACCAAAUCGGCAACCCAUAAUCCCUCAGCAACAAUGAAAAAUGAUGGGUAUACCCUCAAUUGAUCCAAUUGUGUCACAAAUUGCUCCAAUUUUGACUUCAAAUUCUAUCCGAUUCCAUAUACAAAUGAGGUUUCAAUUUCUUCAAUUUUCUAUUGGGUUUGAAUUGAUUUUUGGUUUUGAUAUUUGGGUAGUGGCAACUGCCUUUGGGAGAUGGUGCCAACGUUGUAGGCGACUGUGGUGACGGCCUUUGUGCACACCAGCGUGGGUGAGAGUCGGGAAAGAAGCUGCCGACCACUGGCUUUUUAAUUUUUCAUGAGCAUAGGGUGGAGUAGGGUAGGAUAGUGGGGUCGAGGGGGUUGGGUAAGUUUCUUUUAUUUUUUUGGUUUUUAU
rnacentral:lncRNA from 1 species